GAAUUCCUGGAAUCCUCAGAUACCUGAAGAUUCAAUCGAAUUAACUACUAAAAAUUCAAAAAAGGCAACAAUCAUUUGAUCUGUGGGAUCUAAAGUUCAAAGCCUUUCGAUUUGGGCUUUACAUAUUGUCAACAUAUUUCAUGGUUAAAGUCAUAAUCAUCUUCUUUACGGCACAUUUAAAGAUCAAUUCAGCAAUGAUUUACAUGUGUCAAAUGGAUUUAAAGGAGCAUAAAUUUCAUUCAAUAUCUUUCUAUUCAAAAUGCAUGAAACUUCCGGAGGAAUCACAAAAGCGAUCAAAAAUUUCUUUGCUUAUAAAAGCAUAAAAUGAAAACAAACAGAGCAAGUGGGAUAAAAAUACAGUUGACACAUGAAAAAUGGAAAAAGAUUCUGAAGACUCUGAUGAAGUAAAGAGUGUGGAAAGCCUGUAAAUUGAUUGUUAAGAAUCACAAUAAAGACGGUUCCAGAAUCCUUUCUAUUUAUGGUAAAUGACCAUUAACACCUUUACAUGGACAAAAGAUCAAAUAACAACAUCUAAAUGGUGCAAAAACGGUCAUUGAUUCGGUUGUAAUAUGGUGUUAUAAACUAAAUCUCAUUAACAAUGUAAUACGCUUUGGAGGCAAGUAUUUGGACUCAUUUUUAAUCAACAACAAUUUUCCCAGGAAAACACAGAAAGGUUAAGACAAGAGAUAAAAAUCUUUACCAUGGGAAGAACAUGAUGAAAAUUUGAGUCUCUCCUGUAGCAAGUUUCUCCAUUGGAUUGAUCAAUUGAGCUUUAACUGUGAUUGGAUUCUAAUUAGUAUAUUGGACAACAAGAUCCCAAAGACUGACAAUUUAAAUAUUCAAUUGAAAGGUUAACAUUUAAAGUUACAAUCAACUUUAUCCAGAGAAUCAUUGACAGUUUAUAACAAAUCAAUAAUUCAAUAUUGAAAAGGACUGGACUUUGUUAAAAAAUAAGGUUGAUUAAUCAAAUGAAUCAACGUUUGUUACCUCAAACGACUGUUUAACCAAAUCUUAUUCACAUUGCACAUGAUAUUCAUUGGAUUAGAUUGUUAUAAUACUAUCACUCUCUUCAUUAACUAUUUAGAUUAAGCUGUAAAUUAGCUUAAAAUUAAAUUAAUCUAUCAACUUGUAGCAAGCUCAUCAUCAAAUUACCAAGUUGUAAAUGAACUUAAUGGUUUGCACUUGUUAAAUUGAGACUAACAAGGGCAUGUUAAUUGUGAAACCAAUUAUGUAAUCUAAUAUAGUUUCACAAUUUACCAGCAAUUUGUUAUAAUUUGUCUAAUUUACUUUUGAAAUCAUCAAUGGACGAAACAACCUUUACUAUCAAAUUACUUGACCAAAAGCUGGUUACCAACAAUGUUUGAUGAAUGUAAAUUUCAAUCUUAAUCUUGACCACAUUCAAUUGUAAUUUUUAAUUAGAUUUUCAAAGAAAUGAAACAAGCUUAACUUGUAAACAUUACUGUAACAUAGUAAAUAUUAGAGAGCAAAAUUGCUUUCUAAAUCCUAUGGAUUAGUAGAUGUUAACGGUUGAACCACUUUGUUGAUGUGAUUAAUCCUUCAAUUAGAAUUGGGAUAAUCAUUUAAAAAGUCAAUUCUGUUUGGAACAAAAUUAAUCUCAAGAUAAUCCAUAAACAAUUAAGGUUGAGUAAAGGUAAAGGUAAAGGCUUGCCAAUGUUGAAUUGUUGUUGGAGAGAAGAGUUAAUUUGAUUGUAACGCAAGGAAAUCAAUUGUAAACAUCUUUAUUUUUCUCAUUAAUUUUAACUUGACAAAGACUUAAUAUUUGAAACAACAAAAGGUCAACAAUUGAUCAAGGAAGGUUUUCGUUUUAAUCGAGUUUAACUAACAGAGCAAACUCGAUUGAUUGUAAAUACAUAGAGAUAGAAAUAUUUCCCAUUGAUUAAUCUUUCACUAACAUUAAUACACUGAGUUUGCUGUGUAAACUUAAUCAAGCAAACUAAAAAUAAACCUCAUUGAACACCAUAAUUAAGUUCAAUUGUGUUCCUAUUAAUACAAAGUUACACAUAAUAGCUCAAUCCUAUUAGCAAUCAUUAUCCUAAAUGAUUCAAUAUUGAACCAUCAAAUUACAAAUCAUCUUUGAUAGUAAACCAUUGAAUGAUAAAUAGUGUAAUAAUUGCAGUCGAUAGUCAAAAAAUGUAAAUUAUCAAAAGAAGAGCUUUCAAAGUUGAAAAGUCUUUCAACAGAUCUUUGCCUAGUAAAAGGCCUUUUGAAAUUAGCGCUUUAAAAAAAGUCUGAAAUCAAUGCACACCUUGGUAUUGUCAACAUAUCAAUGGCAGAGUUUUUUUGAAUCGACGAAUAGAAAUCAUUAAAAACGGUGAACCGAAAUAUUGCGAGUAUAACAAUGGUAUAACAUGUACUUUAACGUCUAUGAAUGUCGCGCCCUACAUGGACCCAAUCUGUUCAUUCCAACUCAAUUUACGAAAUCCAUACCAUCAGCCGAUUCCUCCGCACUAUUCACGAACUCAUGGCUAAUUGUUUUAUACAAUCUGAUUCACUCAAUUUUACUUGUAAUAAAGAUUAAUAAUGAAAAUGAGAAGCUCAUUUUUGAAGUCAGUCACAACCGAUUACCAUUUUCUGGUUAAAAAUUGUUUUUUCGAUCUGAAAAUAUCAUUCUUACAGAAAAUCAAUGCUAACUAUCGUAAUAUCGCCAUCUCUAAACUACUUAGA